rnacentral:lncRNA from 1 species
CGCCAAGCCAUAGUCACGUGAUCGUUCUUGUUGAUAUAAGCCGCGUUCACACUAGCGGCCCAGGCCUGGCCUGGACCUGGCCUGGGUCUAGGUGUGAACGGGUUUUACCUGGCCUGAGCCUGGCAUAGGCCCAGCCUAAGUCAAGCAAUCCAGGCCAGCAAAUGUAGGUGGCCUGGACCUGGCCUGGGCCUCGAUCAUCACUGGUGUGAACGGGUUUUUCCUGGGCCUGGCCUGGGCGAGGCCCCGUUACCAUC